rfam:Felis catus isolate Cinnamon breed Abyssinian chromosome A2, whole genome shotgun sequence.
GCCUGGGUGGCUCAGUCGGCUGAGCGUCUGACUUCAGCUCAGGUCAUGACCUCACGGUUCGUGAGUUCGAGCCCUGCGUCGGGCU